rnacentral:rRNA from 1 species
UACGUAGGGCGCAAGCGUUGUCCGGAAUUAUUGGGCGUAAAGAGCUCGUAGGCGGUCUGUCACGUCUGCCGUGAAAACCCGAGGCUUAACCUCGUGGCUUGCGGUGGAUACGGGCAGACUAGAGGUAGGUAGGGGAGAACGGAAUUCCCGGUGUAGCGGUGAAAUGCGCAGAUAUCGGGAGGAACACCGGCGGCGAAGGCGGCGACCUGGUCCAAUACUGACACUCAUACACGAAAGCGUGGGGAUCAAACAGG